GAUGAACGCUGGCGGUAUGCUUAACACAUGCAAGUCGAACGGACUCUUCGGAGUUAGUGGCGGACGGGUGAGUAACGCGUGAGAAUCUGGCUUUGGGUUCGGGACAACCACUGGAAACGGUGGCUAAUACCGGAUGUGCCGAGAGGUAAAAGAGAAAUUGCCUGAAGAUGAGCUCGCGUCUGAUUAGCUAGUUGGUGAGGUAAAGGCUCACCAAGGCAGCGAUCAGUAGCUGGUCUGAGAGGAUGACCAGCCACACUGGGACUGAGACACGGCCCAGACUCCUACGGGAGGCAGCAGUGGGGAAUGUUCCGCAAAGGGCGAAAGCCUGACGGAGCAAUACCGCGUGAGGGAAGAAGGCUCUUGGGAUGUAAACCUCUUUUCUUAGGGAAGAACAAAAUGACGGUACCUAAGGAAUCAGCAUCGGCUAACUCCGUG
rnacentral:rRNA from 1 species